GCCUACGGGGGGCAGCAGUGGGGAAUAUUGGACAAUGGGGGGAACCCUGAUCCAGCGACGCCGCGUGGGCGAAGAAGUAUUUCGGUAUGUAAAGCCCUAUCAGCUGGGAAGAAGAAAUGACGGUACCUGAGUAAGAAGCACCGGCUAAAUACGUGCCAGCAGCCGCGGUACUACGUAUGGUGCAAGCGUUAUCCGGAUUUACUGGGUGUAAAGGGAGCGCAGGCGGCACGGCAAGCCUGAUGUGAAAGCCCGCGGCCCAACCGCGGGACUGCAUUGGGAACUACCGGGCUGGAGUGCCAGAGAGG
rnacentral:rRNA from 1 species